rnacentral:tRNA from 1 species
UCCCAUUUUGCUCAGUUGGUAGAGCAUGGCACUUGCCAUGCCAGGGUUAUGGGUUCAAUUCCCACGGGGGAC